rnacentral:rRNA from 1 species
UACGUAGGGUGCGAGCGUUAAUCGGAAUCACUGGGCGUAAAGGGCGCGUAGGUGGCUUGGCAAGCGUGUGGUGAAAGCCCGGGGCUCAACCCCGGGUCUGCCGUGCGAACUGCUAUGGCUUGAGCACUGUAGAGGCAGGUAGAAUUCCGGGUGUAGCGGUGGAAUGCGUAGAGAUCCGGAAGAAUACCGGUGGCGAAGGCGGCCUGCUGGGCAGUGGCUGACACUGAGGCGCGACAGCGUGGGGAGCAAACAGG